CUGCAGGAUUUGUGAGCAGAACGUGUAGUUACGGGAAUAGUUCAAGGUACAAAGGCUAUUCAAACACUAUAAGCAAGAAAUCAUCUUUGCCACAACACUUAAAGGUCUCAGCAACAACAUUUCCCUUGAUUCUCUCCUACCCGCGAGAUGCCGCUUUCUGGAAUGAUAAUUUUGUGGCUGCCACCAACAGACACAUACGCUAUUGCUUCCAAUCUCUCAUCUAAAAUCACUGAAUGACAGGUCUGACAGAAACAAAUAGCAGGAUCAAUCAGAAACCUCCCCAAAACGGUUGUUCAAAGAGCUCAAGGAAUGUGUGCCCAAGUCAUUUAGACUCACUGCAAAUGUUCCUGGCCAGCAGUAGCUGCUUUUAUUGGAAACAAAAUUACGGGCUACAGCUACUAAUAGGUACAUUCACAGAGGAACUAAAGGUCCAUGGCAUUUUUUCUCCUAAUUAAGCGCCGCAUUUCUGAGACGUACGACAGAGCUCUUUCUUCUUAAAAGGCAUAGCAGAAGCCUAGCAGUCCGAAGCAGAUGAAAGAUAAGGAUGGACAAUAUGUUGGAAAGCCAUUUAUAUAAACAGUAAACAGUAGUGAACAACAAAAUCCGGUUCCAAGAUCCAAUGAACAGCUACAAGUUUCAAAGACUCUGGGAACAUCAGGCAACAAAAAAAUACGUUCUGGUCACCAUCCGGCAAUGGUGUUUUAGAGCAAUGCUGUUUUAGAACAGCAUAAAAAAAUGGCAGAAGAUGUGGGACAUGAGUAAACAUACCAUUGGUCUUUUCUCUUGGCCUUUGGGCCAACAUCAUACAAUCUCUUAAACGUGCAACUUUACUGAAUUAUGGAUGUAAACAUGGACAGAAUCAUUGGGAAGAAGUAGCUAUGGACAUAGACCAGCACUGAGAACUGCUGAGAUUCAUGUAGUUACUUGAAAAAAGGAGCU